GUAGGUGGGCAAGCGUUGUCCGGAAUUAUUGGGCGUAAAGCGCGCGCAGGUGGUUCUUUAAGUCUGAUGUGAAAGCCCCCGGGCUCAACCGGGGAGGGUCAUUGGAAACUGGGGAACUUGAGUGCAGGAGAGGAAAGUGGAAUUCCACGUGUAGUGGUGAAAUGCGUAGAUAUGUGGAGGAACACCAGUGGCGAAGGCGACUUUCUGGCCUGUAACUGACACUGAGGCGCGAAAGCGUGGGGAGCAAACAGGAUUAGAUACCCUGGUAGUCCACGCCGUAAACGAUGAGUGCUAAGUGUUGGGGGGUUUCCGCCCCUCAGUGCUGCAGCUAACGCAUUAAGCACUCCGCCUGGGGAGUACGGUCGCAAAGACUG
rnacentral:rRNA from 1 species